CCUACGGGGGGCUGCAGUGGGGAAUAUUGGACAAUGGGGGGAACCCUGAUCCAGCCAUGCCGCGUGUGUGAAGAAGGCCCUCGGGUUGUAAAGCACUUUCAGUGAGGAAGAACGCCUGGUGGUUAAUACCCAUCAGGAAAGACAUCACUCACAGAAGAAGCACCGGCUAACUCCGUGCCAGCAGCCGCGGUAAUACGGAGGGUGCGAGCGUUAAUCGGAAUUACUGGGCGUAAAGCGCGCGUAGGUGGCUUGAUAAGCCGGUUGUGAAAGCCCCGGGCUCAACCUGGGAACGGCAUCCGGAACUGUCGAGCUAGAGUGCAGGAGAGGAAGGUAGAAUUCCCGGUGUAGCGGUGAAAUGCGUAGAGAUCGGGAGGAAUACCAGUGGCGAAGGCGGCCUUCUGGACUGACACUGACACUGAGGUGCGAAAGCGUGGGUAGCAAACAGGAUUAGAUACCCUAGUAGUC
rnacentral:rRNA from 1 species